rnacentral:rRNA from 1 species
UACGAAGGGGGCUAGCGUUGUUCGGAUUUACUGGGCGUAAAGCGCACGUAGGCGGAUUUUUAAGUCAGGGGUGAAAUCCCAAGGCUCAACCUUGGAACUGCCUUUGAUACUGGAAGUCUCGAGUCCGGGAGAGGUGAGUGGAACUGCGAGUGUAGAGGUGAAAUUCGUAGAUAUUCGCAAGAACACCAGUGGCGAAGGCGGCUCACUGGCCCGGAACUGACGCUGAGGUGCGAAAGCGUGGGGAGAAAACAGG